UUGAUAGCCACAGAGACUAUACUUCUCCAUUUAUCCAAAGAACAGGUAUGCCAUGUACGGCAGCAAGUGUCUCAGCACUGGCAUACCAUUGUGUCUCAACUGCCACCUAGACAAACAUUUAGCAAGUGAGAGGCUAGUUUAAUCUCCAUGCUAACACAGCCUCCUUGCUGAG
ensembl:misc_RNA